rnacentral:rRNA from 1 species
CCUGGAAACAGAUGCGUAAUACCGGAUAACAACAGAUGAUGCCUAUCAACUGUUUAAAAGAUGGUUCUGCUAUCACUCUGGAUGGACCUGCGGUGCAUUAGCUAGUUGGUAGGGUAACGGCCUACCAAGGCGAUGAUGCAUAGCCGAGUUGAGAGACUGAUCGGCCACAUUGGGACUGAGACACGGCCCAAACUCCUACCGGGAGGGCAGCAGCG